UACGUAGGGGGCUAGCGUUGUCCGGAUUUAUUGGGCGUAAAGAGCGUGUAGGCGGCCAGGUAGGUCUGCUGUGAAAACUCGAGGCUCAACCUCGAGACGUCGGCGGAAACCAUCUGGCUAGAGUCCGGAAGAGGAGAGUGGAAUUCCUGGUGUAGCGGUGAAAUGCGCAGAUAUCAGGAAGAACACCCGUGGCGAAGGCGGCUCUCUGGGACGGGUACUGACGCUGAGACGCGAAAAGCUAGGGUAGCAAAACAGG
rnacentral:rRNA from 1 species